GAGUAAUGUCUGGGAAACUGCCUGAUGGAGGGGGAUAACUACUGGAAACGGUAGCUAAUACCGCAUAACGUCGCAAGACCAAAGAGGGGGACCUUCGGGCCUCUUGCCAUCGGAUGUGCCCAGAUGGGAUUAGCUAGUAGGUGGGGUAACGGCUCACCUAGGCGACGAUCCCUAGCUGGUCUGAGAGGAUGACCAGCCACACUGGAACUGAGACACGGUCCAGACUCCUACGGGAGGCAGCAGUGGGGAAUAUUGCACAAUGGGCGCAAGCCUGAUGCAGCCAUGCCGCGUGUAUGAAGAAGGCCUUCGGGUUGUAAAGUACUUUCAG
rnacentral:rRNA from 1 species